ACUUUCAAAUCUAAGUACAAGUUUUCCCCCUAUUUCUAUGCCGCCACGAAGGUAUGCAUAUUUCAAAGUCCUUUUUGGUGUCAUUGCAUAUUUAACUGAUACACCUUUGGCAUUUGAAUCAAGGAAAGUAAUGCGAUCGUCAUUUUUUUUUUUUCUUUUGAAUCCCUUGGUAGGGUUAGUUCAUGCUUCAGGCCUUACUUGAAACUUGAAAUUGGGUAGAGAGAGGGAGAGAUGAAAGUAAUGCGAUCGUCUGUUUUUAGUUUUUUUGUUUUUCUCCCUCGGUAGGGUUAGUUAAUGUUUCAGAAACUUGAAAUUCAUAGGAAUGAAUGGAUUCACAUGUCGAAUCCAACGCAGAGGAGGAACUCGUGUCACUUGAUAGGGUUUGAUCUAUUUUCUGAAGGAGAAAAGAUCCUCGGAUGGUUGGCUCACUCUUGCAUCUGUGAAAGUUGUUAUUCAUAUUCAGUAGUGAUAACGUGGAUUACAUGUGGCAGUGCAUGAAGGAAACAGACAGAACGAGGGCUUGCAGGAAAUCGCUCAAGAAACUCGGGAAAACGCUUCAGCCACCAUCCACCGUCCACCGUUACUGGUCUUGAUUGAGCAAGAGAUGCGGUCCGAUGAAGUUAUUGUUGAAUGGGAAGGUAGACAUAGAGAUGGCAGAGAACUCGAAUCCAGGCUUGGGUUUUAUUUAUUUAUUUUUUUUUUGGAGGGUAAAUGAGGCUUGGAUGGUUGCUCCCUCUUUUCAUCUGUUCGCCACAUUUCACAGCUUCUUUUGAUAAGGGAACGUGUUUUUAUUGAUACGGUGGGUCUUGGUGGUGUGGGAACUCAUGACAAGGUAUGAAUCUUCAAUAGUGAUACCUUGGUGGUGUGGAAACUCAUAACAAGGUACGAGUCUUCAAUACUGAUUUUUUAUUUCUGGUUUGCUAUAUUUAUCAAUUUAUCAACAAGUGCCACCUUAUGAAUUUUGUAUCAUUAAAUCAAUAAAUUUAUUGAAAGAAGAAAAUUAAGUUCAACCAAGUGUGUUCAGGGGAUUGCCUCAUAAAUUUCAUGAAUGUUUCGUGUUUGGUUUCAUCUGAAAUGUUCUAUCAAAGAAGCUUUGUUGCUCUGUUUGUAAUUGUUCUAUUGAUACCGUUCACCAUGUAGGAUCUGGUGAUCUGGUCUUGCAAAUUUUUAGAGCUGUGUUUUGGAUUCUUUGCACUGUAAUGGAUGAAUAUCAAUUGUUCUAACAGUGGCAAGCACAAUCAAGAUAUAUGAAGAAAAGGUGAAUUGAGCAGGGGAACAACCAGUAACAUGUAACGCAGGGUGUAGGAUGUAAUAGGAAUGAGUCGAAUGACUCCAGUAGUACUCGUUAUCACCAACAGUAGUUCCUUCCACAAUGAUAGAACAAACAGUGGUCACAGCCUCAAUAGGCCUAAAGUUGCAGAGAACUUGAAAUAGAAACAAGAGAAGAAGAAGGGGAUAUGACCAAGGCCUCUCACCCAUGGCUGUGGUCAGUAUGCCAUUAACCCAAAAGGCAUCUCUCACCUCACAACUGUUUCUCACAGCAAGCAGCAAGACAGCGAAGGCACAAAUAGCCAGUUCCGUUAAACUUCAAAUUGUUUUUUAUUUUUUAUUUUUGAGGGUGGGGGGUGGGGGAGCUACAUGGCCCUUAUAUUAUAAGGAAGGAUCUACUCCCUUCAAAAGAAACUAAUAAAAAUGGAAACUACUGGGAAAAAAAGGUCCAAAAAUGUAGUAGUGGGCCUUGUACAAGAAGUAAAUAAUAAAUAGAAAACUACUAAAUAAAACAAAAAGAAACCGAAGUAACUAUGGAUCUACUCCCGUCAAAAGAAACUAUAAAAAAUGGAAACUACUGAAAAAAAAAAGGUCCAAAAAUUUAGUAGUGGGCCUUGUACAACAAAUAAAUAAUAAAUAGAAAACUACUAGAUAAAAAAAGAAAAGAAACCAAAGUAACUAUGUAGUUAUACUACAAUAUGGACCCCACGAAUCUGGUUUUUAGUUAACCAGUAGCAUCCAGACCAAGGUUGGCAUGGCCUGAACCAAAAUAGGUUCAGUUGAAGAACUGUGGCCUAUUGAAGGGCCUGGUUCUUCUUCUUCUUGCGGCUAUACUAUUUUGAGUAUAGCUUGUCUACAUCAGAGUGGGUCCUCUUUGUUUUCCUCCCUGGUGUUAUUUCUCCCUAGUUGGAUUUCUUUUUAACAAAGAUUUCUCAGUUCUCUUUAGUAAAGCUUGUUGAGAUUGACGCUAGGAUUAGCGCUAGUUCCUUGGAUCAAUAGGGUCAAUUCUGUCCUAUUGGACCCAGUACUUUUAGUUAGGGUUACUUCUUUAUGUCUUGGGGGUAUUCUUGUAUUUUCAUUCUUAUGAAAGAAUAUUAAGGUUAGGGAAAACCUGCGAUCAAACCAUUCUGGUAAGAUCGCAGGUCUCUUCUCAUCUUUUGGGGAUUCUCCUUCGGUUGUACCUCUCUCUUCUCUCUUCUCUUCUUUCUUUUUCUUUUGGUUUGAUUACAAGGUAUCUGGGAUUGUAACAUAGCUUUUUUGAAUUUUCUGCUUUGUAGUAAUCAGUUUUUCAUCUUUUACUGUUGCUAUUUUAUGACUUGUAGUUGAUGUUUUCUAGCCUGCAGCAAUGAGUUCUUUAUUUUCUACUAUUUCUACAUGUGUAAGGUAUGGUUUUCUUUCAUUUUUUGAACUGACAUCCAUUUGGCUUACAAUUUCUAGGUCUUUCUUCUUAUACAGCUGAUGGGCAUUGCACCAAUGCUACUGCUACUGGUUUACAGUUACCU